UGCUGAGUCAGAGCCACAGGAGGUUUAGCAGAGAAUCUUUCCUGACCAGGUUUCUGAAGCUGCUUGGACGAUGGGAAGAAAAGAUAAACCCUCUGAAACAGCAGCCACUUUUUUCUGAGUUGAGAUUGGGAUUUCAGGCAUUUUAAGGGUGCACAGAAAUGGGUUUCAGGCUGUCCUGGAGCCACACACUGCCAGAGCUUGCUGUCUGCUGGAGGUUCUCCCCAUGAUUGUCCCCAUGUACCCAGCAGCUCAGGCUGGUGGCUGCACCACUUUGGAGCUUUCUCUUCUGCCUGUGGAGAGCCUGAUGCCAGUCUUGAAACACUUGGAUUGGAGAUGACAGCAUUAUAAUUGAAAAUAAUGGUAGGACACCAACCCCAGCUCAGCUGGAUGGGGGAACCAGGGGCAGCAUCUCUGCUGCAAGCAAGAACCAAGUGAGGAUCCUGGACCCUUCCCGCCUGGAUUUGGGGAAAUUCUCCCGGCUCCCCAGGGUUUUUCUUCCCGCUGAGGACAUCUGCCAGGAAUGAGGAGGAGCCCGUGCCAAUGUCCUCCAAAGUGGGGUCUGCAUGGGGGGCUGCUGGAUGUGCGUGCCCCACACCAUGGGCACUGGGGGCAGCUCCUGGCACUGCCAGAAUGGAGCCUCUGUGCAGGGAUGCUGGCCUGGCAUGGCUUGAGCUCCCACAGCCAGCAGUGCCAGCCAUGAGAGGCUGCCCCUGGCACUGCUGUGUGCCCUUGGCAUUGCUGCGUGUCCCUGGCAUUGCUCUGUGCCUGUGGCUCUGCUCUGUGCCCACAGCAUUGCUCUGUGCCAUUGGCAUUGCUCUGUGCCCAUGGCACUGCUCUGUGCCCGUGGCUGAGUGGUGGCUUUCUGGCAGGAACCCACUGACACCUAAAGCAAAGAGGAAACUUCAGAGAAAGUUCUGUGGGAACCCUCCCUGGGAUGAGGCUGUGUCCAGGGGCUGUCACUGGGCAGUGUCACCCUGUGGCACCUCCAAAGGUCCCCUGUGUGGGGCAGGGCAGGACUGGAGGCUCAGACCCUGCUGUCACGUCCUGAUCCCAGUGCAGCUGCCGUGGCUGUGGCCAGGGGAAGGUCCAGGCUGAGCCACACCUGAGCAGUGACACAGUGCCCCAGCAGUGCUGUGACAGUGCCACCCCUGUGCCAGGGUCCCCCUGAGUCCUGCUCCAGCUCUGCAUGCCCAGUGGGCAUCUUAGCUCUUUUCUUUCCUGGGAGCUGGAGGCUGGACAAGAGCUGGCACAAAGGCUGUUUGGUCCCAACAAAAACUUUUUUGUUUCAGUGUGAUAUCAGAUGUUUUGAGCUGAGUGAACAAAGCACCCUCUUGCUGGAGCUCCCCCUCCUCGUUGGCAGUGUCAGCAGCAUCAGCACAGGACAAUCCUCUGUCCCUUUCCUGGGAAUCUCACUGCACCUCUUGGAUCACACUGAAUUUUGUGUUUCUGUUGAAGUCUGGCACAGUGCAUCUUGUGGGACAGCUCAACGACCAGGCACAGGAGUUUUCCAUUGAAGCUGCAGCCAUCCACAUUUACUCCUGUUUUCCAGUGCCCACUGGGGAAAAAGCCAUGUUAGAGCUGCCAGUGCUGCCCAUGGACAGGGAGCGCUCAGUGCUGUGUGGGGUGCCUGGUGUUGCCUUCAAGCAAAGCUCUUCCCUGGCACAAGGGUUCAGUGAGCAGGGCUCAGUGAGGAGCCCCCCUGCUGCAGGGCUUCUUGAGGGGUGAUUUGUGAACCACAGGCCAGGGUGAGUGGGGAGGGUGGGAUGAGCUCAUUUCCCAAGUCAGCUCUGCAGCUGCCCAGGACGGAGCAGCUCUCCCAGCUGGCAGAGACAUCCCAGGGAGCCAGAGGAGCCCUGGGACACUCUGGGGCCCAGGCAGGAGCUACAGGGACAGGCACACACUGCAGCCAGCUCCUGCUCCUCAGCAGAGAGCUGCAAAGGAAACAGGAGCAUUUCCUGAGCUGGUCUGACCAUCAAUGCCCUGGC